rnacentral:rRNA from 1 species
GACGAACGCUGGCGGCGUGCUUAACACAUGCAAGUCGAACGGAAAGGCCCUGCUUUGGUGGGGUGGUCGAGUGGCGAACGGGUGAGUAACACGUGAGUAACCUGCCCUUGACUUUGGGAUAACUGCAGGAAACGGGGGCUAAUACCGGAUAGGAGCUCCGCCUGCAUGGGGGUGGUUGGAAAGGGUCUGCGGUGGGGGAUGGUCUGGCGGCUUGUCAGCUGGUUGGUGGGGGAGUGGUUUACCAAGGCGUUGCCGGGUAGCCGGCUCGAGAGGGUGGACGGCGACAUUGGGCCUAGAGUACGGCCCAGGCCACUAGGGGGGGAAAUGGUGGGGUAUAUUGCACUAUGGUGCGGCGCCUGAUGGAGCAACGCCGAGUGCGGGAUGUCGGCCUUCGGGUUGUAACCCGCUUUCGCCUGUGACGAAGCGUGAGUGACGGUAAUGGGUAAAGAAGCACCGGCUAACUACGUG